UAUCCUGACCCAACUCAUCUGAGCUGGCUAAUGAAUGUUAAUUAACCAGCUCAGAUGAGUUGGGUCAGGAUA